GUCCACGCCGUAAACGAUGUCAACUAGCCGUUGGGAUCCUUGAGAUCUUAGUGGCGCAGCUAACGCAUUAAGUUGACCGCCUGGGGAGUACGGCCGCAAGGUUAAAACUCAAAUGAAUUGACGGGGGCCCGCACAAGCGGUGGAGCAUGUGGUUUAAUUCGAAGCAACGCGAAGAACCUUACCUGGCCUUGACAUGCUGAGAACUUUCCAGAGAUGGAUUGGUGCCUUCGGGAACUCAGACACAGGUGCUGCAUGGCU
rnacentral:rRNA from 1 species